rnacentral:rRNA from 1 species
CCUACGGGAGGCAGCAGUGGGGAAUAUUGCACAAUGGGGGAAACCCUGAUGCAGCGACGCCGCGUGAGUGAGGAAGUAUUUCGGUAUGUAAAGCUCUAUCAGCAGGGAAGAAAAUGACGGUACCUGACUAAGAAGCCCCGGCUAACUACGUGCCAGCAACCGCGGGAAUACGUAGGGGGAAAACGUUAUCCGGAUUUACGGUGUGAAAAGGGAGCGUAGACGGUUAAUCAAGUCAGAAGUGAAACCCCGGGCUCAACCUUGGGACUGCUUUUGAGACUGAGUAGCUAGAGUGCAGGAGAGGUAAGCGGAAUUCCUAGUGUAGCGGUGAAAUGCGUAGAUAUUAGGAGGAACACCAGUGGCGAAGGCGGCUUACUGGACUGUAACUGACGUUGAGGCUCGAAAGCGUGGGGAGCAAACAGGAUUAGAUACCCGGGUAGUC